UGUUUAUUGAUCAGUGUCGGGUACAAGCGUCACAUGUCUGAUAACUUAUGAAACAGAACCGCAGGACAUAAAUUCACCAAACCGAGGAGAUCGAACGACUGAACAAAGGCACACAAACUUCGUCUUGUCAGUCGACUGGCUCCCACGCGCGCCGUUCGGGGGCCGGCUGCACGGAACGUGGGUAGGUGCAGAACUUGGUGGCUGAGUGCGGAGCACUUUAGUGGAAUUCAUCCCACAGAAGGUCCCAGUGUCAGAACCAAUAAAAUGCCCGUAAGAAAUGUGAAUGACAAAUAAAAAGAAUGCAUUAAAGGCUAAAUAUUGAAUAGAAAAUAGAGUUAUGCUUCAUUAUAAAGAAAUAGUUGUAAAAGGUUGUAAGCCACGUCAUGCUGUAUGUGUGUAUUUUUGAUACAGUCAAUGGUGUAGAGUUGUCUUGGGGGACCUGAAGGGUCUAAAUUAGUGUUAAUGACUCAAGUUGGUCGAACCUCGAAGGGGCCCUGAAUGGAAUGAAUUUCCCUACUUAAUAUAAGAUGAAUUACCUCCAUACACGGGGAAUUCAUCACAUACUGAUGUCCAGUGUAGAAAAAUCAAAUUCACAAAAAUAUAAAUAACAAAAUAGAGCAGAAAGCUAAAUAAUGGAUAAGAAAUAGCUUUAGAAUAGAGAGUAGGAUUUAUUUUCAAAGAAAACAAACUUUUUCCAGAAGUUCUUAGUCGUUACGUCAUUCACAAUGUCUGCAUUUUUAAACAACCAGUGGUUGUAGCUUUUUUUGAGAACGGGAAGCGAUUAAUAACUCCGAAUAUUAAAAACUUUGGGGCCAAGUCUGAGAUGAAUUCCUGUCUUGGAGCCCUGUAGCUAGGCGUCGGUGCCUAACGAGGUUCCAUGAUGCCAGGCCCAGUGUGGAAAACAUUGUGCGUCACCGCCGUGACCUCCGAUCCACAGUGCCUUGAGGUCGGGGGAGAGAAGGGGAUGAGAAAAGAAACAAGCUUUAAUGCAGACACUUCUUUUUGCCCCCGUGAAAGGAUCGUCAGGAAACAGAAACCGGCCAGCGUGGGUGCGGACAUCAGUCACAGCAUGCAGUUCAGUCACGUGACCCGAUCAGAGCAAGCGACGGACGACCAAAGGUCAGGUGUCGGACGGACUGACCCCGGGGAAGGUGGUGGGUGGGCUGGAGCUUGCGCGCGCUGGCGGGACAGGUAGACAGCGCCCUCUGCCAAUCAAGACGUCACCUGGCGCGCGUGCGGGUGCGUGAUUUACUCGCAGCGGCUCUCGCUGUGCACCCAGAAUAGAAGUGGUAAUGGACAGGUGAGGAGGUGGCGGGGCGAGCGUUAGUUCCAGAGGCCCCCAUAAAAAAUGGUCGAGCCUGUGUUCCGGUCUAAAAAUAGCUGAUGUGGAAUCAUGGGAUUUUGAGCUUCACCGGCGUCACUGGGGUGUACGCGCUGCCAUGGCUUUGUCAAUGAGUCAGUCGAUGAAUGAAGAAGCUGAUCAGUCGACGAAACUUCCAGUCCAUCGUUUGAUCAAUCAGUCGCUUAAUCCACGGAUCUCUUUGUCAAAUGCAGACGCGUGUGCGAUUUUAGGUGUGUGGGUGGGUGUGUUCGUUUGUGCAUUGCGAAACUGUUCAUACGUGUAUUGUUUUUUUUCUUUUUAUUAGUAGACAUGUUGUAUGUUUUGUUGCUUUGUCACUGUAUGUUUUUUUGUGCAUAUGUGUAUUGCAUGUUUAUUGUGCACAUGGGAACAUUGUGUAACACGAGAUAUUAGGAGCCAUGCGAGUAAAAAUUUUGUGUGCGUGCAUUUGUAUGUGCGUGCGCGUGUGUGAUUUAUUAAUUUUUUUAUUGUUUACCUUCCUUAAUGUAUUUAUCACUGUGCUGCGCUCAAAGGUUCAAUUGUGAGAAGUAGAUAUGUUUCUCACUAUUCCUACCACCAUCACCAGUCACCACUACCAUCAACAGCCUUCAAAGGUCACCAGCUGCUGCUAGCCUCGUGACGUGCUGAUCCCUGGCUCCGCUGGAGACAAUCCUGGCGUGAACGUCACGGGACCGUGCCGUCACUUCAUACUGAGAUGAAAAAGCCGGUAGGACGAGAGAUGCUCGACAGGUGUGUGUGUGCACGUGAGUGUGUGUGUGCGCGCGCGCGCGCGCCGCGCUGGGUACGGUUAUUUUAAGGAGGUGGUGUUAUCUUGCGAGCCUGCGAUUAGACGGCACUUAAAGCUGGGUAGUCUGGAAACCUACCCGUAGUAGCAGCAGCCCGGAAAGUGUUCCGUCCUUCCGGUCUAAAGCAGCAAUCAUUUGAUGGAUGGAUGGAUUUCAAUGGACAGCAGGUAACUAGGGAAAAAAUUCUUGGUAGCGAGAAGAUGACUGAUGAUAAGAACAAGGUCUGUUUACCAUACACAGGCAGUCGAAAAUGAGAAGAAAAUACGGCCUUUCAAAAUGAUUUCUAAAGCGACGAUAAAUUAGAAGAAGAAUACAUUAAAGGUUCAUCAUCAUUCAAUGCAUCAAAUAUAUCAUCAUCGUAGUCGUCAGCUUCAUCUGAAACGAUAUAACUUGGAUGCAAAUUUGGAUGGAAGGAUUGAGUUUAUACGACCUUUGCCCCACAAUACCCCAGAAUCCAUUAAUAACUUAAAUCAUCUCGAAAUGAAUAGCAUGUUGGGCGAGGGAGGCAUUGCGCGGCUGAUUUGACAAAAAAAAAAAAAAUAAAUAAAUAAAAAUUGAAGUCUAAGGUUCUUGACAAACGGCGGGGGAGGUCGAAUCCUGUGAGGGUUCCCGUAGAAUUCUUUUCAUCCUGCGUUAUGUGUUUGGAUGGCUAUGGCUUAGUCGAAGUAAAUCUGUUCCGACAAAGUGGUGGUAAUCCGUGGUAGUCUGUGGUGGUGGUCGUCGUCGUGGAGGUGGUGAGUACUCUUGAUCCCGAGACAACGGCCUUCUUCACAGCCACGACAUUUUCAUGUCCAGCAGCGAAAGGCGCAGCUCCAUGAUGAACACCUCUAUCGACAUUAUACAUCCCUACAAACAUCAGUAUCAACAUCACGACUGCCAUUACUGCCGCCGCCAUCAUCAUCCCUACAACAACCUUAUCAUUAUCAUAAUUACCUUCAUCCCAUUAGUAAUUUUUUUUUUUGUUCAUGGUCUCCAAGGCAGGAAACCCAUCAAUGACCUAACGGUGCGGACGAGGGCCAACUCACACUGAGUGAAGCAGUGGAUGGGAGGUGGACGCAAGGAGGUGCCUGUCUUCCCCAGGGUUUCCAGGGGCAGAAGCCAGCAAAACUUUCUACAGGCCAUUUAGCCUCCUUUUCUCCCAGCUCCUCCUCUUCCUCAAGACAGGAAUGAAAAAAAAAAAAAAGGUCCAGAACCCAAACAGAUGACGUCGUGUCUGAGUCGCUAAACGGUUCGACACGUCCCCGACUUACUGCACUGCACUGCACGGCGCGAGCUGCCGGACCAGCACCGGCACGUGACCAGCAAGGGGAGAGCACUGCGCGCGGGAAGCCCGAGCUCCUAAUGAUACCCGACACAUACACACCGGUUCCAGCGCCAGUUUGAAGAAGCCGAGCUGUGAGUGUAAGAGUGGUCCAAAGAGUUCAGUGAAGAUCAAGUCCCGUGGAUUCACAUUUCGUCUCGGGCACGCUGUUCUUUUCCUGCGUGAUGCACAUACUGUAUCUGUCCAACGGUAUGUUGUUGUUUUUUUUUGUUAGCUUGUUUUUUUUUUGUUUAGAGUUUUUUGUAUUUUUGCGCUUGGUUGGCUUUUCUUGGUUCAGUGUUUUU